AUUGUGGAGUAUCAGAUGAAGGCUGUGCUGCUCUCGCUUCAGCUCUGAUAUCAAACCCCUCACACCUGAGAGAACUGUAUCUGUCUGUGAAUAAAGUAGGAGACUCAGGAGUGAAGUGUCUCUCUGAUCUGAAGGAUGAUGAACGUUACAAACUACAGACACUAAGUGUUUACUGAUGAUGAACAAUUGUGUGUGAAGACUCCAGUGUUCCUGCAUUUCCGUGUCUGCAAACCGAGAACACGUUUAUCUACAGGAUCUGAGGAGUUGAUGUGAAAAAGCCCAGAGCAGAAGGAGUCCAAAUCACAUGUAUUACUUUGUGCUUUAGUUAGUAUUUAAUAGAGUUUCUCUCUUUAUGCUACAGGAUCAGACCCAAUCCAAUCUUUAUAUUCUCUCUGAUCUGAUCUCCAUUUCUUACUAGUAUCAGAUGACCAACCCAGUAUGGGAUCAGUGCCAUCUUUAGUGCCUGCAUAUAUACACACACACACACACACACACACACACUUACUCACACCUGGAUGUCUAUAUAAUGCGUAUAUGAUGUAUUAUAUAAUAUUUCUUACAAAAACACUGAUAAAACUGUUUUUAUAUAAAGUAUAGAAGAAAAAUAAAUGGAGUUUUAUUUACUCUUCUUUGUUUUGUUCUACACCACUUUUUGGAAAUUUCCCACAAAUAAAGUUUUAUCUUAAAGGCU